rnacentral:rRNA from 1 species
GACAGAGGGUGCAAACGUUGUUCGGAAUUACUGGGCGUAAAGCGUGUGUAGGCGGCCUUAUAAGUCGGAUGUGAAAGCCCAGGGCUCAACCCUGGAAGUGCACUCGAUACUGUAAGGCUCGAGUACUGGAGAGGUUGGUGGAAUUCUCGGUGUAGAGGUGAAAUUCGUAGAUAUCAGGAGGAACACCGAUGGCGAAGGCAGGUCUCUGGGCAUUAACUGACGCUGAGGCGCGAAAGCGUGGGGAGCAAACAGG